CCUACGGGUGGCAGCAGUGGGGGAUAUUGGGCAAUGGGCGCAAGCCUGACCCAGCGACGCCGCGUGGAGGAAGAAGCCUCUCGGGUUGUAAACUUCUGUUCUCAGGGACGAAGAAAGUGACGGUACCUGAGGAAUCAGCCACGGCUAACUACGUACCAGCAGCCGCGGUAAUACGUAGGUGGCAAGCGUUAUCCGGAUUUACUGGGUGUAGGGGGCGUGUAGGCGGGAAAGCAAGUCAGAUGUGAAAGCCAUGGGCGCAACCCGGGGCCUGUUUUUGAAACUGUGUUGCUGGAGUGCUGGAGGGGCAGACGGAAUUCCUGGUGUAGCGGUGAAAUGCGUAGAUAUCAGGAGGAACACCAGUGGCGAAGGCGGUCUGCUGGACAGCAACUGACGUUGAGGCGCGAAAGCGUGGGGAGCAAACAGGAUUAGAUACCCUUGUAGUC
rnacentral:rRNA from 1 species